CCUAGAGCUAGGUCAGCCGGGAGACUCAGCCAGGCUUGCAGACCUCUCAGCAAUAGCAGAAUGUGGGCUGAAGCCAUCCAAGUUACAAGCAAAUCAAAGCUGAGUCGGGGUUUGAGUCUCUUUGCCUAGGCUAGGUCAAAUCUCUCCAAUACAGGAAUUACCAAGCAUGGCACUCAGUACAACAGUCAACUGAAGGAAAUGGUCUCCAGCUGUGGGAGUCUCCUGUGAGAAGUCAAUGACUUGGCAAAACUGUCACAUCAGCAAGGACAAUGAAGUCCUUCUGCAUGUCUGCGUCUGUGGCCUCCUUUACUGGCUGAAGUCCCGCAUCAGUACUCCAUAGAAAGCCUUGCCAAGGCAGUCUGCUCAUGAGGGGACACGUCUGCUCAUUUUACUCAAGUAAGCACAACCACUGAGUUCAAUGACAGUAGGGCCAAACCCUGAAAAAAUAAAUGGUGGAGCAGGCCU
rnacentral:lncRNA from 1 species